rnacentral:rRNA from 1 species
AUUGAACGCUGGCGGCAGGCUUAACACAUGCAAGUCGAGCGGGGUGAUGGUGCUUGCACUAUCACUUAGCGGCGGACGGGUGAGUAAUGCUUAGGAAUCUGCCUAUUAGUGGGGGACAACAGCUCGAAAGGGAUGCUAAUACCGCAUACGUCCUACGGGAGAAAGCAGGGGAUCACUUGUGACCUUGCGCUAAUAGAUGAGCCUAAGUCGGAUUAGCUAGUUGGUGGGGUAAAGGCCUACCAAGGCGACGAUCUGUAGCGGGUCUGAGAGGAUGAGCCGCCACACUGGGACUGAGACACGGCCCAGACUCCUACGGGAGGCAGCAGUGGGGAAUAUUGGACAAUGGGGGGAACCCUGAUCCAGCCAUGCCGCGUGUGUGAAGAAGGCCUUAUGGUUGUAAAGCACUUUAAGCGAGGAGGAGGCCCUUUUGGUUAAUACCCAAGAUGAGUGGACGUUACUCGCAGAAUAAGCACCGGCUAACUCUGUGCCAGCCGCCGCAGUAA